AUGGUUAACAAGAAUUGGAAAGCUAUUGCAUCACAUGACGGAUGUGAUGUUUGCCCUGCCACUGAAUCAAUUACUCACUUGGUGCUCAGAUGCAAAGCUGCGGAUGUCCUUUGGAAGAAAAUUGGGGUGCUAGACCUGGCUGUGCAGGCAAACAGCCUUCUGGAGUUUGUCUCAUCACCUCUGGCAUCAUACAGAAUUGGCAAACUAUGGCAUGUGCUUUUUGCUGUGUGUGCGGUCACUUUAUGGAGCACUCGAAAUGCCCGAGUUUUUGGCAAUAACAGAUGGCCUGAUGCUCUCUUACUAAGUGAAGCAGCCAACAUGACCUAUGGCAUCAUUGGGCGAAGAACUCUGCAGACCAGCAGAUCAUGCUUCGGUGGAUGGAGAUUUUUAGAUAGGCUCUCGUAUUCCCCAUCCUGUAGCUCCUUUUGUAUCUCUUUUCCUGCCCCUUUUCUUCUGUUCCUAGCUCAACAUGUCUUGGCAAUGGCCAGCUUCAUUUUUCGUGCAGCGCUAACAUUGCCUUCAUGUAAUUGA
rnacentral:rRNA from 1 species